GAGUCGGCCUGCGCGGAAGAUGUAACGGGGCUAAACCAUGCACCGAAGCUGCGGCAGCGACACUAUGUGUUGUUGGGUAGGGGAGCGUUCUGUAAGCCUGUGAAGGUGUGCUGUGAGGCAUGCUGGAGGUAUCAGAAGUGCGAAUGCUGACAUAAGUAACGAUAAAGCGGGUGAAAAGCCCGCUCGCCGGAAGACCAAGGGUUCCUGUCCAACGUUAAUCGGGGCAGGGUGAGUCGACCCCUAAGGCGAGGCCGAAAGGCGUAGUCGAUGGGAAACAGGUUAAUAUUCCUGUACUUGGUGUUACUGCGAAGGGGGGACGGAGAAGGCUAUGUUGGCCGGGCGACGGUUGUCCCGGUUUAAGCGUGUAGGCUGGUUUUCCAGGCAAAUCCGGAAAAUCAAGGCUGAGGCGUGAUGACGAGGCACUACGGUGCUGAAGCAACAAAUGCCCUGCU
rnacentral:rRNA from 1 species